GACGAACGCUGGCGGCGUGCUUAACACAUGCAAGUCGAACGGGCAGUCCCUGCUUUUGUGGGGUGCUCAAUUGGCGAACGGGUGAGUAACACGUGAGUAACCUGCCCUUGGCUUUGGGAUAACUUCAGGAAACUGGGGCUAAUACGGGAUAGUAGCUCCGGCUGCAUUGUGGGGGUUGGAAAGUUUCGGCGGUUGGGGAUGGACUCGCGGCUUAUCAGCUUGUUGUUGUGGUAGUGGCUUACCAAGCCUUUGCCGUGUAGCCGGGCUGAGAGGGUGACCUGCUACAUUGGGGCUGAGAUAAGGCACAGACUACUCCGGGAGGGAGCAGUGGAGAAGAUUGCACAAGGGGCUGAAGCCUGACGUAGUCACGCCGCGCGCGGUAUGACGGCAUUCGCGUUGUAUACCGCUUUCGCCUGUGACGAAGCGUGAGUGACGGUAAUGGGUAAAGAAGCACCGGCUAACUACGUG
rnacentral:rRNA from 1 species